AAGUCGUAACAAGGUUUCCGUAGGUGAACCUGCGGAAGGAUCAUUAACACGUAUCCAAACGUUAAACCCCCCUGUGAACCUUCACCUGUACUCGUACGUCCGUUAGAAAAAGCAGCAAUCCCUGGUAAAUCAUCGCCGAACAGUUUUCGAUUCAGGGAUGUCUGCAAGGAGCGUGCAUGUUGUGCGAGCAAGUGGCCUGGCAUCCCCAAGCAGUUAGUGUCUGAAAGUGUCAUUAACUGUGUAAGGAUGACGCAGUCACGAUCGUUGGAGGCCCACACGGCCGACGACCGGGUCACUGGGCGCAAGCCCCCCUAUAACAAACGCUGCUAAUCGCGGCCGCGAUAAUACGCAGUCGACCAAAAACCGAACAACUGUUAACAAUGGAUAUCUUGGUUCUC
rnacentral:misc_RNA from 1 species